rnacentral:rRNA from 1 species
GAUGAACGCUGGCGGCGUGCCUAAUACAUGCAAGUCGAGCGAACAGACGAGGAGCUUGCUCCUCUGACGUUAGCGGCGGACGGGUGAGUAACACGUAGAUAACCUACCUAUAAGACUGGGAUAACUUCGGGAAACCGGAGCUAAUACCGGAUAAUAUAUUGAACCGCAUGGUUCAAUAGUGAAAGACGGUUUUGCUGUCACUUAUAGAUGGAUCCGCGCCGCAUUAGCUAGUUGGUAAGGUAACGGCUUACCAAGGCAACGAUGCGUAGCCGACCUGAGAGGGUGAUCGGCCGCACUGGAACUGAGACACGGUCCAGACUCCUACGGGAGGCAGCAGUAGGGAAUCUUCCGCAAUGGGCGAAAGCCUGACGGAGCAACGCCGCGUGAGCGAUGAAGGUCUUCGGAUCGUAAAACUCUGUUAUUAGGGAAGAACAAAUGUGUAAGUAACUAUGCACGUCUUGACGGUACCUAAUCAGAAAGCCACGGCUAACUACGUG